AUGGCAAUCAUCAGAGUGUCAGCCUCACACUGUCUCUCCUUUGUCUGUCUAGUAUCGUCAGCUCUCGUUCAUCAUUCUGGAGGAGCCUUCGUGGCUAGUCAACAGCAACCAACGAACGCCGGCAACGAUGGGGAGGCGGAAGAGAAGUUUACAUCGGCUCUUCUAGAGAGCGGGCCGCCAAAACCCCGGGAUCACAGGGUGAUGCUUCACCCUGGCAAAUGGAAGAUACGCACGGCCGACAAAGAAAGCCUCUACUUGGCCUACCACUUUUUCCUAGGAUCAAAAUGGGCAGAUUACAGGGUCAAUUACCCCAAGUGUUCUCAGGUAGCCUGCGAAGGAUUGCCUGACUCUCAUAGAGCUUGCGAUCACUUCUGCUCUACCGGCACCUGGCGCGACGCAACCCUUGUGUUGGAAACAGCCACGCUUGAGUACGACAGGGCCGUGAGAUCGCUCGGCUCGACCUUUAGCGAUCUCGCCGCUCUCAUGGACACACACAUCAUCCAGCAGGACUGGAGCUCUUCUGACUCUGUGUCCAAACUGCUUUCGUACCACGGCGAGGAGUCAGUUUCAGGCCCCGAAGUGGUAGAUGUGAUGAAACUCCACAGGAACUUGAUAGAAGAGGCCCUGAAUAACAUAGUAGCUCGACGGAGCGCAAUGUUGUCGCCCGAGAUGGUGCACUCGGUUUAUGGUUUGACCAACACAACAAAGUUUAAUGAAAUGCUCGACACCUGGAGGAGCGGCGCGUUUAAGUUGGCCGUUCAGCUCAAUGCAGCCACGUUUGCAUUUCAAGGAGCUCACCAGCGUUUACUCUUGUGUGCACAAGGCAUACAGAGGCUGGACAUGACGGGGUGCGAACCUGGUUUCAUCGCAGAAUUGUACACGGAUGUACCUAUGUUGAGCCGUUCGCUUUCAUCCUCUAGGCUUGUGAUGGUCGUCAGGAGGGAGAAUUGGAACACCGUCACACUCUCACGCUGGUUCAUGCCCUUCAUAGACUCCUCGAGCGGAAACAGGACGUGUUGGCUGGCCAGGCCCAUGGUGAGCGACGAGCGUGCCAACUACAGGGUGCCUCUGUGUGACUCGAGGGGCCUGUGUGAACCUUUGGAAUUGGACAACAAGACGGUGUCUGCGUGCCAGGUGAACGGUGACGGCGAGAUAGGUUUUGAGUGUCCCGUCGUGUGCGGCUCCUCAUGCUUCGGUCCCAUUUGCUACCAGCACCAGACGGACACGUAUGUGCCAAGGAGUGCUUCUGGCAGAGCUCCCGCUGGCCUCCACGCCACCACAAAGACUCUCGUCCGGGUGACACGGAGCCCCCGGGUACUCUUGAAGGCGUACUCAUUGUCUGAGGCAGAUCUGGACGAGUCCCUCACUAGUGUGAGGAAUCUAUCCACUUGGUCCUCUGAAUUGCUACAGCGAGGAGAAACUGUCUUAGAUAACAUCGUCACCACGAAGGCCACCGCUCAGAUGUACAUCGACCGAGUGAAGGCACAGGAGGCAGCGCGAUCGCAGCGGAGUCUCGACUGCGAGAGCCUAGUAGGUCGCUAUCGAUCCAUGGCCGCCAUUUCUAUCUGCCUCUCUGCUCUAGCGUGCCCUUUAUUGAUUAUCGUAACAAUUAAAUUGCGGUCUAGCGCAAACAACCCGGUUGUGAUCGUGAGGACGACCAGGAAUUAUUCAGAGGCGUUUCUCUAG
rnacentral:lncRNA from 1 species